GUAGCUUAAUGCUAAAGCACCCAACCGACAAUUGGGAGAUCUGGGUUCAAGUCCUGGC
rnacentral:tRNA from 1 species